GAUCAUGGCUCAGAACGAACGCUGGCGGCAGGCUUAACACAUGCAAGUUGAACGGGAUUUGUGUGGUGCUUGCACCAUAUAAUGAGAGUAGCGCACUGGUAAGUAACACGUGGGAACGUGCCUUUUAGUGGGGGAUAACAUCUGGAAACGGAUGCUAAUACCGCAUACGCCCUGAGGGGGAAAAGAUUUAUUGCUAAGAGGUCGGCCCGCGGUAGAUUAGGCAGUUGGUGGGGUAAAGGCCUACCAAACCUACG
rnacentral:rRNA from 1 species